ensembl:lncRNA
CGUGAUUUUUGCUUAAAUGGGGGAUUCUCGAAGAGAAAACACACGGUUUUCGCUUAAAUGUGGGAUUCUCAAAGACAAAACACGUGGUCUUUGGGUUAAAUGGGGGAUUUUCAAAGAAAAAAUGUAUGAUUUUUGCUUAAAAGGGGGAUUCUCGAGGAGAAAGCGCGUGAUUUUUGGCUUAAAUGGGGGAUUCUCGAAGAGAAAACGCGUGAUUUUCGGGUAAAAUGGGGGAUUUGCGAAGAGACAACGCGUGAUUUUUGGCUUAAAUGGGGGAUUCUCGAAGAGAAAAGGCGUGAUUUUUGCUUAAAUGGGGGAUUCUCGAAGAGAAAACACACGGUUUUCGCUUAAAUGUGGGAUUCUCAAAGACAAAACACGUGGUCUUUGGGUUAAAUGGGGGAUUUUCGAAGAAAAAAUGUAUGAUUUUUGCUUAAAAGGGGGAUUCUCGAGGAGAAAGCGCAUGAUUUUUGGCUUAAAUGGGGGAUUCUCGAAGAGAAAACGCGUGAUUUUCGGGUUAAAUGGGGGAUUUUCAAAGAGAAAAUGCGUGAUUUUUGCUUAAAUGGGGGAUUCUCGAAGAGAAAACACAUGAUUUUGGGUAAAAUGGGGGAUUCUUGAAGAGAAAACACACGGUUUUCGCUUAAAUGUGGGAUUCUGAAAGACAAAAUGCGUGGUCUUCAGGUUAAAUGGGGGAUUUUCAAAGAAAAAAAUUAUGAUUUUCGCUUAAAAGGGGGAUUCUCGAAGAGAAAGCGUGUGAUUUUUGCUUAAAUGGGGGAUUCUCGAAGAGAAAACACGUGAUUUUCUGGUAAAAUGAGGGAUUUGCGAAGAGACAACGCGUGAUUUUUGGCUUAAAUGGGGGAUUCUCGAAGAUAAAUUGCAUGAUUUUCAGCUAAGAUGGGGGAUUCUCGAAGAGAAAGCGUGUGAUUUUCGGGUUAAAUGGGGGUUUUCCAUAGAGAAAACAUGGCAUUUUUGCAUAAACGGGGGGUUUCCGAAGAGGAAACGCGUGAUUUUUGGGUUAAGUGGGGGAUUCUCAAAAGGAAAUGCAUGAUUUUUGGGUUGAGUGGGGGAUUCUCAAAAAGAAAGCGCGUGAUUUUCGUGUUAAAUGGGGGGCUCCGAAAAAGAAAAUGCAUGAUUUUCGCUUAAAUGCGGGAUUCUCGAAGAGAAAGCGCGUGAUUUUUGCUUAAAUCGGAGAUGUUAGAAGAAAAAAUGUGUGAUUUUCGCUUAAAUGGGGGAUUCUCGAAAAGAAAGAGCGUGAUUUUUGCUUAAAUGGGGGAUUCUCUUAGAGAAAACACAUGAUUUUUGCUUAAAUGGGGGAUUUGCGAAGAGAAAACGUGUGAUUUUCGGGUUAAAUGGGGGUUUUCUGAAAAGAAAACACGUGAUUUUUGCUUAAAUGGGUGAUUCUCGGAGAGAAAACGUGAUUUUUGGAUUAAACGGGAAAUUCUCAAUGAGAAACGCGUGAUUUUCGGGUUAAAUGGGGGAUUUGCGAAGAGAAAACGCGUGAUUUUCGGUUAAAUGGGGGAUUUGCGAAGAGAAAACGCAUGAUUUUCGGGUAAAAUGGGGGAUUUGCGAAGACAAAACACGCAAUUUUUGGCUUAAAUGGGGGAUUUCGGGUGAGAAAAUGCAUGAUUUUCGGGUUAAAUGGGGUAUUUCCGAGGAGAAAACGCAUGAUUUUCGGGUUAAAUGGGGGAUUCUCGAAGAGAAAACGCGUGAUUUUCGGGUAAAAUGGGGGAUUCUUGAAGAGAAAACGCAUGAUUUUCGCUUAAAUGAGGGAUUUCUGAAGUGAAACCACGUUUUUUUUUGCUGAAAUGGGGGAUUCUCAAAGAGAAAGCGCGUGAUUUUUGAG